UACGUAGGUGGCAAGCGUUGUCCGGAUUUAUUGGGCGUAAAGAGCGUGUAGGCGGCCAGACAGGUCCGUUGUGAAAACUCGAGGCUCAACCUCGAGACGCCGAUGGAAACCGUUUGGCUAGAGUCCGGAAGAGGAGAGUGGAAUUCCUGGUGUAGCGGUGAAAUGCGCAGAUAUCAGGAAGAACACCCGUGGCUAAGGCGGCUCUCUAGUACGGUACUGACGCUGAGACGCGAAAGCGUGGGGAGCGAACAGG
rnacentral:rRNA from 1 species